GACAACUUGUCCGAGUGGUCCAAGGAGCCAGACUUGAAAUCUGGUAGGCUCUGCCUGCGCAGGUUCAAACCCUGCAGUUGUCG